rnacentral:sRNA from 1 species
GCGCUUCGGCUUGUAAUGUUGAGAUGC